rnacentral:rRNA from 1 species
ACUAAAUAGAUACCCCGGUAGUCCACGCCGUAAACGAUGAGUGCUAAGUGUUAGGGGGUUUCCGCCCCUUAGUGCUGCAGCUAAACGCAUUAAGCACUCCGCCUGGGGAGUACGGUCGCAAGACUGAAACUCAAAGGAAUUGACGGGGGCCCGCACAAGCGGUGGAGCAUGUGGUUUAAAUUCGAAGCAACGCGAAGAACCUUACCAGGUCUUGACAUCCCGUUGACCACUGUAGAGAUAUGGUUUUCCCUUCGGGGACAACGGUGACAGGUGGUGCAUGGUUGUCGUCAGCUCGUGUCGUGAGAUGUUGGGUUAAGUCCCGCAACGAGCGCAACCCUUGAUCUUAGUUGCCAUCAUUUAGUUGGGCACUCUAAGGUGACUGCCGGUGACAAACCGGAGGAAGGUGGGGAUGACGUCAAAUCAUCAUGCCCCUUAUGACCUGGGCUACACACGUGCUACAAUGGACGAUACAAACGGUUGCCAACUCGCGAGAGGGAGCUAAUCCGAUAAAGUCGUUCUCAGUUCGGAUUGUAGGCUGCAACCCG